UUAAUUCCUAAUUUCAACCAUUUAUAAAGGAAAUCUUAAACUCUAACUGUAAAACAUUAAUGCCAAAUACACGUUUAGUGAUGUACUUUUAUCAAGAACGACAUUUAGAUAUUAGUUUUACAUAGGACCAAAAAUAUCAGAAUACUUAAUAUCAAACAUAUAGUAAAACAUAUAACACCACACUAACAUCAAUGUUACACUUUGACAAUCUAUACUAAUAAAUUUGACUAAAAGGCUCCAUAAUGCGUCACUUCAGUGAAGGCUAUUCCAAAAUGUGAUACGUAACAUUUUUUCCUCACUCUUUGUUUUUGAAAAAUGAGUUGUCUACUUACGAAAUCCUCAUGUUGCAUCUGAUUUAUUUGUUUGGGUCAAUCAUUAUUUCAAAAUCUCGGCCCGGAAAUCUUUCUUCUUCGAUCAUGUAUGAUCGGAACAAAUUAGCUAACAAGACUGUUGGUUUACAUAACGCAUUCCCCCUGAAUUCAGUCAGCCACUAUAAUGAUUUCAUUAAUGUCGUUUUCAUCACUACCUCCACUCUCUCGCAUUCAUCAGCUCACUCACACCGUCAUGGAAACGUCUGAAAACUACACCUAUAAC
rnacentral:lncRNA from 1 species